CAGAGUGCAUGUGUUUGUUGCUUGAUACCCGAAGGUCUCCAAGCAAGUUAUAACUGUAUUAAAAAUAAAAAUAUCAUACUAUAAAAACGAAACAAUAAACCACCAACAAACGCCCCCCUACAGCUACGGGAAGCUUUGGCAGCGAAUCAAUAACAGUCAUCAUCUCAGUCUAUCAAAUGCCUGGGAGAAAAGGAAAAUGAAACUUGGUGUGUGGGGUCCUGUUUGCUACUUUACGAUUCCAUCCUGAACAGCAGCCUCAUUGGAAAACCCAGGAACAUGUUCAGUGCAAUCCUGUACACGUCUACUUUGAAACAAGUCCCACCAAGUUCAACGGGACUUACUGCCUGGUGUGAAUAGGACUGCGGCAUUAAUCUAUUGAGCAUUCAACUCUGCUUGGCUUGAGUAUGAGAACUAUGGACUCCAGUAGAUCAGCCCCAGGGUCCAUGACAGGCAUCCAGAGGAAGACCAGAUCGGUUGUUCUCAGGCCUGGGAAUGUGCUAGUUGUGGAGCCUGUGAAGUUAUUUUCAUGCAAGACAACAAUUGGGAUGUCCAAAGUGCAGCAGAGACAGCAAAGCUUCGACAAGCUUUGGAGACAGAUUCCAGACGUUGCCCCAAGUGGGAGUCCUGACCCACAGCGGUUUUUAAAGGGAGUCGGCCGGAAUUGGGACAGAUGCCGAGAAUAACACUGGCAAGUUUCAAAGUCUGGGGGAAGGGAAUGAGUCUUGUUUGCUCACAGCCUUCUAACGCCUCUCAGCAGCCUUGCUCUUGGCUUAAGUACGCAAGGGCAGAGCCUAUUAUUCUGGAUUAAUGCAUACAACCCUGCUUUAGCUCCUUCUCCUGGCAGAAGCUGCCCCCUACAGCAACAAUGUUUACGUAGCCGGUCUUCCAAAGAAAAAGCCCGUCUGCACAGCUCUUGCCUAUGAUGAAAAGCUGCUCUCAGUCAAAUGUUUAUUUUUCUGUGCGCCCCUUCCUUGUGGCAUCCUCAGCCAGAGAAUAGCUAUUUCUUGGACUCCAUUAGUGCCAGAUGUCUCCUUCCCUCCUGUCCUGUCUCAUGCGCAGUACAAGGCUCUUCUGUUAGCGCACCGUGGCAGGCUGGGGAGAGAUCAGCCAAAGAGAACACAAAUCUGCCCUUCACCUUCCAUCAGCCCCCACAGGUCACUGUUUAAUAUCCAUUUCCUUUCCAGGCCCAGGAAAUGUUUGUGUAACCCUCCUGUCUCCCCCCCCCAUCCCUUGCCAACCACAGAAAGUAGAAUGAAGCAAACAGGAGCUUUUCUUUCUAUUUUUUUUUUUUAAAACCUCACUGUGGAUCCAGCUAUCCAAUAUCACACUCUGGUCAAGAGAGGCAAGUGAGAAGAUCAUCCUUUUAACCUGAGGGGAGCUUGUGGCCAGCAUGGCCGAAGGCCCAUGGGAUGAUGGGAGUUGCACUCCAACAAAAUCUGGAAGGUCACAGGUCCCCACCUCUGUUUUAAAUGAAAAACACAUUGAAGCCUCAAGAAAUUGAACAGGUGAGAUACGUUGAGCAUACAAAGGAGGAAGAGAUUAUUAUAUUUUAGAACAGAAUGAUCAGAAACAAAAGAAGCAGCAAAAGCUGCAAAAACGGGGUCCCAGGAGCAGAAUCAAUGGCAGAUCAUCCUUCUGCCUCACAUGCACCUUGCAGGAAACAAGAAGGGUUUAAAAAGAGAAGUUUUAUCCAAGUGCUCAGUAUCCGGGCAUCCACCUUUGCCUGCAGGCUGGGCCGGACCUUGGAGGUUGUGCUUGCCAAGAAUAGUAAAGGGUUAAACCCCCUUGGGACUCAUGAAGAGCACCCUACAACUAGGGAUAGGGAGAAAAUUUGGUUCAGAUCACAUUGGAAGCUGAAUCUAUCAAAUCCACACUUUCCGAAAUAACAGGAGAACUGAAACACAGACACUCUUCUAAAUUUGCACGUAACGAAACUUUGCCAUGCAGUUCUUCAACCAAGCAAUGUUUACAAAAAUGUAUAUAUUAGGGGAAAGUGUGCAUAAAAAUGAAUACAUUAGUAAAAAUAUACAAAAACCCAUUAUAUUAGGAGAAAUUGCUGGCAAAAUGUGUAUAUUAGUCAAAGGUGCAUGUAAAAUGUGUUUAUUGGAAGAAAUUCACACCUAAAAUGUAAAGAAUUUUCAUGAAGAUUUAUUUUUAAAAAACCCUCAAAUUGCUGCAGAAAUGUGGGGAACUGAAUUUCAGACUAGAAAAAUGAAUCACUAAGCAAACCCAAAUUGAUAGAUCCUUCCUUCCAUAUCUGCAACAACUGUGGUGCCAAUGAGGGUGUCACAUCAAAACACAACGAAGCAUUGAGCAUUAAAAAUCUACUACAUGACUGCAUGCUUGCUAUCUCUGAUUGUAACCAUUAUUGUAAUGGUUGUACACCGCCCAGAGAGC